rnacentral:rRNA from 1 species
UACGUAGGCAGCAAGCGUUGUUCGGAGUUACUGGGCGUAAAGGGUGUGUAGGCGGUUGUUUAAGUUUGGUGUGAAAUCUCCCGGCUCAACUGGGAGGGUGCGCCGAAUACUGAAUGACUCGAGUGUGGGAGAGGUGAGUGGAAUUCCUGGUGUAGCGGUGAAAUGCGUAGAUAUCAGGAGGAACACCGGUGGUGUAGACGGCUCACUGGACCAUAACUGACGCUGAGACACGAAAGCGUGGGUAGCAAACAGG